CCUACGGGGGGCUGCAGUCGAGAAUCAUUCACAAUGGGGGAAACCCUGAUGGUGCGACGCCGCGUGGGGGAAUGAAGGUCUUCGGAUUGUAAACCCCUGUCAUGUGGGAGCAAAUUAAAAAGAUAGUACCACAAGAGGAAGAGACGGCUAACUCUGUGCCAGCAGCCGCGGUAAUACAGAGGUCUCAAGCGUUGUUCGGAAUCACUGGGCGUAAAGCGUGCGUAGGCUGUUUCGUAAGUCGUGUGUGAAAGGCGCGGGCUCAACCCGCGGACGGCACAUGAUACUGCGAGACUAGAGUAAUGGAGGGGGAACCGGAAUUCUCGGUGUAGCAGUGAAAUGCGUAGAUAUCGAGAGGAACACUCGUGGCGAAGGCGGGUUCCUGGACAUUAACUGACGCUGAGGCACGAAGGCCAGGGGAGCGAAAAGGAUUAGAUACCCCAGUAGUC
rnacentral:rRNA from 1 species